rnacentral:rRNA from 1 species
GAAGUGGCAGUGCGGUGACGCAUGAAGCGGACUAAUACUAAUCGGUCGAGGACUUAACCAAG